AUUGAACGCUGGCGGCAGGCCUAACACAUGCAAGUCGAACGAGUGGCGGACGGGUGAGUAAUGUCUGGGAAACUGCCUGAUGGAGGGGGAUAACUACUGGAAACGGUAGCUAAUACCGCAUACCAUCAGCUGUGCCCACAUGGGAUUGGCUAGUUGGUGGGGUAACGGCUCACCAAGGCGACGAUCCCUAGCUGGUCUGAGAGGAUGACCAGCGAAACUGGAACUGAGACACGGUCCAGACUCCUACGGGAGGCAGCAGUGGGGAAUAUUGCACAAUGGGCGCAAGCCUGAUGUAGCCAUGCCGCGUUGAUGAAGAAGGCCGUCGGGUUGUAAAGUACAUUCAGCGGGGAGGCGGUACCCGGAGAAGAAGCACCGGCUAACUCCGUGCCAGCAGCCGCGGUAAUUC
rnacentral:rRNA from 1 species